UGGUUGUAGCCAAAUCGAAUGGUUGAGAAGUUUACUGGCCGGCCAUUGUGAGAUUUAUCCAAAUCUCUGUCAAUGGAUCUGCUUACCGAGCUUCUCACAUUU
rnacentral:snoRNA from 1 species